rnacentral:rRNA from 1 species
AACGAACGCUGGCGGCAGGCCUAACACAUGCAAGUCGAACGCCCCGCAAGGGGAGUGGCGCACGGGUGAGUAACACGUGGGAAUAUGCCCUUAGGUACGGAACAACAGUUGGAAACGACUGCUAAUACCGUAUGAUAUCGAGAGAUCAAAGAUUUAUCGCCUAAGGAUUAGCCCGCGUUAGAUUAGGUAGUUGGUGGGGUAAAGGCCUACCAAGCCUACGAUCUAUAGCUGGUCUUAGAGGAUGACCAGCCACACUGGAACUGAGACACGGUCCAGACUCCUACGGGAGGCAGCAGUGAGGAAUAUUGGACAAUGGGCGCAAGCCUGAUCCAGCCAUGCCGCGUGAAUGAUGAAGGCCUUAGGGUUGUAAAGUUCUUUUAGUCGUGAAGAUGAUGACGGUAACGACAGAAAAAGCUCCGGCUAACUCCGUGCCAGCAGCCGCAGUAA